AACGAACGCUGGCGGCAUGCCUAACACAUGCAAGUCGAACGAGACCUUCGGGCCUAGUGGCGCACGGGUGCGUAACGCGUGGGAACCUGCACUUAGGUUCGGAAUCACUCCCCGAAAGGGGUGCUAAUACCGGAUAAUGUCUUCGGACCAAAGAUUUAUCGCCUUUGGAUGGGCCCGCGUUGGAUUAGCUAGUUGGUAGGGUAAAAGCCUACCAAGGCGACGAUCCAUAGCUGGUCUGAGAGGAUGAUCAGCCACGCUGGAGCUGAGACACGGCCCAGACUCCUACGGAGGGCAGCGGUAGAGAAUAUUGGGCAAGGAGCGAAAGCCUGAUCCAGCAGUGCCGCGUGAGUGAUGAAGGCCUUAGGGUUGUAAAGCUCUUUGACCCGGAGUGAUAGUGACAGUACCGGGAGAAUAAGCUCCGGCUAACUCCGUG
rnacentral:rRNA from 1 species